rnacentral:rRNA from 1 species
UACGUAGGGUGCAAGCGUUGUCCGGAAUUAUUGGCGUAAAGAGCUCGUAGGCGGUCUGUCGCGUCGGCUGUGGAAAACCCGGGGCUCAACCCCGGGCCUGCAGUCGAUACGGGCAGACUAGAGUGCGGUAGGGGAGACUGGAAUUCCUGGUGUAGCGGUGAAAUGCGCAGAUAUCAGGAGGAACACCGGUGGCGAAGGCGGGUCUCUGGGCCGGUAACUGACGCUGAGGAGCGAAAGCGUGGGGAGCGAACAGG